rnacentral:rRNA from 1 species
UACGUAGGGACCGAGCGUUGUCCGGAAUCAUUGGGCGUAAAGAGCGUGUAGGCGGCUUGUUAAGUCUUGCGUGAAAUCUCGGGGCUCAACCCCGAGCGGUCGUGAGAAACUGGCAGGCUAGAGUGCGGGAGAGGAGAGUGGAAUUCCUGGUGUAGCGGUGAAAUGCGCAGAUAUCAGGAAGAACACCCGUGGCGACGGCGGCUCUCUGGAACGCAACUGACGCUGAGACGCGAAAGCGUGGGGAGCAAACAGG